rnacentral:rRNA from 1 species
CCUAGUAACGGCGAGUGAAGCGGGAAGAGCUCAAAUUUGAAAUCUAGUAGCCUUCGGCUGCUCGAGUUGUAAUCUAGAGAAGUGUUUUCCGUGCCGGCCCAUGUACAAGUCCCUUGGAACAGGGCGUCAUAGAGGGUGAGAAUCCCGUCCUUGACAUGGACCCCCGGUGCUCUGUGAUACACUUUCAACGAGUCGAGUUGUUUGGGAAUGCAGCUCAAAAUGGGUGGUGAAUUCCAUCUAAAGCUAAAUAUUGGCGAGAGACCGAUAGCGAACAAGUACCGUGAGGGAAAGAUGAAAAGCACUUUGGAAAGAGAGUUAAACAGUACGUGAAAUUGUUGAAAGGGAAACGAUUGAAGUCAGUCAUGCUCUUUGGUAUUUAUAUCAUUGAGUGGGGUCAACAUCAGUUUUGAGCGAUGGAUAAAGGCACUAGGAAGGUAGCACUCUCGGGUGAACUUAUAGCCUAGCGUCAUAUACAUUGUUUGGGACUGAGGAACGCAGCAUGCCUUUAUGGCCGGGAUUCGUCCACGUACAUGCUUAGGAUGUUGACAUAAUGGCUUUAAACGACCCGUCUUGAAACA